CCAUCUGAUUUAAUAUCCUUCUAAAGUGUAAUAUUAUCCUUUGAAAAUUAUAGUAAUACAGAACAGUCAAAGACAACAAUAAAUUACACGAAUAUUAAAGCAGAUGGGCAAAAAAAAUCCUAAAAAAUGUCAUCAUAUCUCAAUUCCGGGCGUCUAGAUGAAAAGCGCUCUGAAAGCGCGUUCCC